CUAAAUGGAUAACACACAAGCUCAGUUCUUACUACAUUUCAUCUGGGUGGAGAAACUGGAGCGAGAGCAGACAAGACUGUUUACAGAGAGGAGCAGAUCUACUCAUCAUAAACGACAAAGAGGAAGAUGACUUUAUUUCACAAGUAACCAGUGGAAACAAGGUUUGGAUUGGUCUGACUCUCAAUAGAGAAAAUGGACUAUGGACAUGGGUUGAUGGCACCAACAUUACCUACGUGUCCUGGAGACCUAAGGAACCCAAUAACGCAAUACCAAAUGAGGAUUGUGCUCUAUCACUCUAUGGCUGGGCUGAUUAUCCAUGUCAUUUCACUUUUGUAUGGAUUUGUGAGAAGGGUUUGGACGUUU